ACUUGGCAACCCCACAAAUAGGGCUUCACAGCUCUCCCCCCAAUGCUCCCAAUGGCCUCUGGUCCCCAGCAUAUGAGCCCCUGCCCCUGUAGACCUAGGGAGAAGCCCUUCUCAGCUCAGCUCACCUGUUUGUAGGCAUCGAGGAGGAAGCUCUUCCAGACGCAGCGCAGUCCCUCUGAGGUCAGCAUGCGCCGCCACUCUCCGCGAGUGGACUUGGAGCGGCUCAACAGCAGCACCACGUGCUUGAGCAGAAUGACCGAGUCAUAGAGAGCCAGGAAGAGGCAGUUGGAGAAAAAAACUGGCAGAAUUUGCAGUGUGAUCAGCAAGUCUACGCUGAGGAUGCCCAUCUUCUCUGCCUCCUGACCCCAGCAUAAAGACAUGGGAUAUGUGAGAAAAGGAAUAGGAAAAAGCCAAAGAGACACCGGCUUACAUUAGAAAAUCUACUCAAAAUCACUCAAAGGAUUGACAACUAAAAUAACAGUUGUCUGCAUUCUUCUAUACUAAGAAGCAAUAUGAUUUUUUAAAUUAAAGAAGAGCCACUUCAAAUUUGUAAAGACUGGAAGUCUGAGAUGAUGUUAAAGCCAUGAAUCAGUAUGGAUAACAAUAAAG
rnacentral:lncRNA from 1 species